UUCUGUCUUUUUGAGUGAGUUUUGUUUUUUCCUGAUUUGCUUUCCAAAGUCUUGCCAGGCUACUUGCGUGACUAGAGGGAGCGAAAAAAGCCGCCCUGCUUCCCUGUCUUGCCCUGCCAGAGUGAGAGCCACUGCAGUGAGGAGAGAGAGGCAGGCAGGCGGGCGGCUCGGGAGGAAAGGAGUUUGCCAUGAUGAACAUAUGAUGCUUGGUGUGCCUCAAUCACUCGCAAUUAAUUUUCAUUAACUAGAGUCUGGCGUGGCUACUGGGUCCAAAGCUGACAAGGGCUAAUUGAUGACAAUACUUAUGAUUUUGAACUCAUGGACACUAUUCUGCGGUCAAGUAUAGUCAUCUAGCAUAUUUUCUCAGUUUGACUCAAUGAGAAAUUGAAAACAGUUCAGAUUAUGUUGAAUGAAAAAAACAGUGUAA